rnacentral:rRNA from 1 species
UGAGGAAUAUUGGUCAAUGGACGAGAGUCUGAACCAGCCAAGUAGCGUGAAGGAUGACUGCCCUAUGGGUUGUAAACUUCUUUUAUACGGGAAUAAAGUUAGCCACGUGUGGCUUUUUGUAUGUACCGUAUGAAUAAGGAUCGGCUAACUCCGUGCCAGCAGCCGCGGUAAUACGGAGGAUCCGAGCGUUAUCCGGAUUUAUUGGGUUUAAAGGGAGCGUAGGCGGGUUGUUAAGUCAGUUGUGAAAGUUUGCGGCUCAACCGUAAAAUUGCAGUUGAUACUGGCGACCUUGAGUGCAACAGAGGUAGGCGGAAUUCGUGGUGUAGCGGUGAAAUGCUUAGAUAUCACGAAGAACUCCGAUUGCGAAGGCAGCUUACUGGAUUGUAACUGACGCUGAUGCUCGAAAGUGUGGGUAUCAAACAGG